AUUGAACGCUGGCGGCAUGCCUUACACAUGCAAGUCGAACGGCAGCGCGGGAGCAAUCCUGGCGGCGAGUGGCGAACGGGUGAGUAAUAUAUCGGAACGUGCCCAGUAGUGGGGGAUAGCCCGGCGAAAGCCGGAUUAAUACCGCAUAAGACCUGAGGGUGAAAGGGGGGGAUCGCAAGACCUCUCGCCAUUGUAGCGGCCGCUAUCAGAUUAGGUACUUGGUGGGGUAAAGGCCUACCAAGCCUGCGAUCUGUAGUUGGUCUGAGAGGAAGACCAGCCACGAUGGGACUGAGACACGGCCCAGACGCCUACGGGAGUCAGCAGUGGGGAAUUUUGGACAAUGGGCGCAAGCCUGAGCCAGCAAUGCCGCGUGCAGGAAGAAGGCCUUCGGGUUGUAAACUGCUUUUGUCAGGGAAGAAAUCCUCUAGGCUAAUACCUUGGGGCGAUGACGGUACCUGAAGAAUAAGCACCGGCUAACUACGUGCCAGCCGCCGCAGUAA
rnacentral:rRNA from 1 species